rnacentral:rRNA from 1 species
UACGGGGGGAGCUAGCGUGGUUCGGAAUUACUGGGCGUAAAGCGCGCGUAGGCGGCUUUGUAAGUUAGAGGUGAAAGCCCGGGGCUCAACCCCGGAACUGCCUUUAAGACUGCAUCGCUUGAAUCCGGGAGAGGUGAGUGGAAUUCCGAGUGUAGAGGUGAAAUUCGUAGAUAUUCGGAAGAACACCAGUGGCGAAGGCGGCUCACUGGACCGGCAUUGACGCUGAGGUGCGAAAGCGUGGGGAGCAAACAGG